UUCUCCUGCCUCACCCUCCAGAGUAGCUGGGACUAUAGGUACAUGCCACAGUGGCCAGCAAGAUUUUAAAAAUAUACAUAUUUGUCUAAACCAGGCAUUGUGGCACAUGCCUGUACUCCCAGCACUUGGGAGGCUGAGACAGAAGUGUCUCUGCAGGUUUGAGGCCAGCCUGGGUACAAAGUGGGAGUUCAAGGCCAGCCUGAACUCAAAUAGCUUCUCUCUCUCUCUGUCUCUCUGUCUCUCUGUCUCUCUGUCUCUCUCUGUCUCUCUAUCUCUGUCUCUCCCUCUUUCUCAAAUCCGGAUAUAUUUGUAUCUGCAUCUGCAUUGGUCUGAAUUACCUAGCUCCCAUGAUUAUUGGAAAUAGAAAUCCCUUACAUGAAGUAGCAAAUGUCUUUAAAAGUACAUACAUACAUAUAUAUUCACAUACAUAUAUACAGCCAUAUAUAAAAUUAAUGCUAUGGUUUGUGUCCCACCAAAUUCAGGUGUUGAAGCUUGAUCAAGAGUGCGGUAGUUUUAUGGGAUGAAACUUUUACAAGAUGAUUAUUUCAUAAGGGCUGUAGUGACCUUAUAAAAGAGCUGCGGUGUUCAUCCCUUUAGGCCUUCUGCCUUCCAGUCGGUGAGGAGAUAGCACCUGGCUCCAUUUGGAAGCAGAGAAGCAGCAUCAGCCACUGCUUUUGCUGUUGCUUGAUUGUGAACUUUCUAGGCUUCAGGAUUGUGAAAGUCCUGAUAUGUAUAAAUUACCUAGUGGCAUUUUGUUUUCAUAGCAUGAAUGGACUAAGACAGGUGGAUUUAUGGGAAUAGUAUGUGAAACUCUAGCCUGAGGAAAUAGGAUUGAAGUUAUAGAAAGGAAGCUCUGCUUUCCAAAGUAUGUAUAGGUGAGAUUGUAAUAAAGAGAAACAUAAGAACAGUUCUAACAAAAUUGCAAUGUUUUUAUUUAUCUCCUGUAACAGUCCAGUACAAGGAGUUUGAUCCACUAGCAAAAAUUUUUAAUUUUUUUUUGUCUUUUUCCUUUUUAUGGGUACCAGGGAUCGAACUCAUGAUCGCCUGCUUGCAAGGCAGGUGCUUAUGCUGCUGAGCUAAAUCCCCAGCCCCCACUAGCAAAAUUUUUGCUUCUUGUCACCAUAACCUUAUGUUCUGCUGGUUUAGACAUCUUAGUUCCAGAGACAGGAGGCUUGUACUAGGAAGCACAACAAUGGUACCAUUGAACUGGAAGCUGAGACUUUCCCCUGGUCAUUUGGUCUCCUUAUAUCUCUAAGGAAACAUGCUUAAAAGGAAGUCAUAAUGUGGUCGGGGUGAAUGAUCCAGACUAUCAAGGGGAAAUUGGACUACUACGCCACAAGAGAGGAAAGGAAGAAUAUCCAUGGUGUACAGGAGAUCCCUUAGGGUGCCUCCUAGUACCACUAUGCCCUGUUAUUAAAGUCAGUGGGAAACUACAGCCAGAUAAUGCAGGAAGAAUGAUACAUGGUUCAGAGUCUUUGGCAAUGAAGAUAUGGGCCACUCCACCAGGGAAAGAAACAAGACCCACUGAGUGCCUGCUGAAAGCCAAGGGAAGAAAAAUGGGUAGUAGAAGAUACCCUGUUGCCUAGGUGACUGUACCCUAGGGAAAGGGGAAUGAUCAGACAUUUCAGGGACUACUGGACAUGGGUUCUGAACCAACAGUGAUUCCAUGGGAUCCAAAGUCUCACUGUGGCCCUCCAGUAAGAAUAGGGGCCUAUAGGUGAUCAAUGGAGUUUUAGCGAAGGUCUGACUCAUGGUGAGUCCAGUAGGUCCUUGAAUCAGUCCAGUGGUCAUUUCCUCUGUUCUACAGUAUAUAAUUGAGACAGAUGUACUUAGUACUUGACAGAUGUACUUAGUACUUGGUUCCCUAACCUGUAAUGUGAGAGCUGUUAUGACUGGAAAGACCAAAUGUCAGCCACAGAGCUGGAUGAGGAAGCAUGCAGAGGGGGUCCGCACAUUGGAGACCAAAGAAUUCAGUCCAAGGUGUGGAGCUCACUGCAGUGUUCUGCACAAGUCCAUAUCAGGAGGCCGAUGGGUCUGUGAUAGAAGGCUAAAGAGUCUGUGCCAGAAGGUUGAAAGAUCCAAGGCGGAAGCCAAAGAAUCUGUGCUAGAAGCCAGAAGAUGACAUCUAAGAUGAAGGUGAAGACAGAGUUCCUCUGAAGAACGGAAGCCUGAUUGGCCUUCUUCAUUUCCCUUUUAUACCGUCCAGGUGAUGAGUCACCCUAGGAUGGGUCCUCUACACCCUAGGGUAUGGAAUCCCCGAGCCAAUUCAGUUAAGUUUCUAAACUUCUCAAGUUGACAAAAGCAAUCAGCUACUACACAGUUCUAACAAAAUGGCGGUGUAUUUGUUUAUCCCACAUAACAGCCCAGUAGCAAGAAGUUUAAAUCUUUGGGAAAGCUCUGCUCUAUGAGUUGGUAAGGACCCAGGUUCCUUCUGUCUUGUUGCUCUCUUGUGUCCUAGGAUAUGGUCUUUAUCCUCAUGGGUAAAUACUUCAUUAGUAUUCAAACUGGGGAGAAUGAGCAAAGAAGAAGAGGGUAACCAGCAAUUUUUGUUCUGAGGAGUAGAAUCUGAAAGUUGAAAGCACUGCUUCAUUUGUGUAUUUGUGGUUCAUGCCAGUUACUGGUGUAGCCAUAUCUAGAGAUAAGGUAGGACUGGAUGUGUCACUUAUAAGACUGGAACAGUUCUCAGUCUUCUCAUGGGCCCUAGGUAAGAAACAUAGAGAAUGACAUACUCAGGAUGGGUUAAUGGGACAAGGGGAAAGGACAGUAUGACCUCACGUGUGAAUGGGCACAUGACGUUUCUGUGUGUUGCAAAGGAUGAGUUGAAAGGUCUGGGGUAGAAUUUUCAUUUCUACCGAUUUUUCGGAUGAUGCCAAUAUUACUGGUCCAGGGAUAAGACUUUAAGAACACUGUAUGUUGUACCCAACUCUCUUGUAUUGGCUUUGCUUGUAAGAGUUCAUGAAAGGGCUGUGUAUACCAUAAUAAUACAAUUGAGUCCAACACUUUCAACUGUGGGAUUCCAGAGCCCUCCAUCACUGUGGUACUGAGAGGAUCAUUGUAGUCUAGACUAGGUAAACUUCUUAACAUAGAUGAAAAUGAUCAAUUUACUGUUUGGUUUUCUAGCACCCAGCUUUUCUUUUCCUUGCUAAUUCCAAUAGAAAAAAAAAAAAAUAGAAAGCCGUUUGCUAGUCCUUCCUUCCUUCUUUCCUUCUUUCCUUCCUUCUUUUUUUUUUAAGACAGGGUUUCGCUAUGUAGUUCAGGCUGGCCUUGAACUCACUAUGUAGUUCGGGCUGACUUAGAACUCACAGCGAUCCUCCUGCCUCAGGCUCUUAAGUGCUGGGAUUACAGGGGUACUCCACCAGGUACUUGGUUUAGGUUUUGGUUCUUCAGGAUGACAUGGAACAGUUUAUUUAAUUGCUUCACUUUCACUAAUUUCAGCAAAGAUAUUGAAUUUUUAAAAUGAGGUAACUGAAUUCCCAUAUGUAGUUAUAGAAUGGAAUUUAAAACAAGUACAAAUCCAUUUAAAAAUAAUUGUUUCCUGAGGAGAUGGCUAAAAAGUCAUAAAAUCUAUGUAUAGCCUGCAUUUUUGAUUACUGACUUCUGCAACUUAGCUAAGAUUGAGUUUUUUUAGUUCCAGUUGCAUGUUCGUUUAGCAAGCAGCAGGAGGGAAAGUGAGGGGGUGAUCCCCAACUUCCCAGUGUUGAAGUGAGCCCCAUGCGUGAUAACGGAACACUGGGAACAACAGGAAGGACCCCAGCUAAGAAGGAAACAGGGAAGAUGGGACAACAGCGACAUGAGCGAGUGAGGGUCAGGGAGGUGGUGACCAUUCAAGUCAAGUCUCAAGCAUCGAGUGGCUCAUUCAGUACUGUUCUUAUUUUCUUAGUCACCGGGAACUGAAUCUAGCAGAGAGAAGCGGGAGUUGCAGCUUCAACAGAAAACUGGUGAUGUGAUCUGAUCAUUCUGUCAGAGGUCAAGGCAAAGAGUCUGGAUAGAAAAAUAAGCCAAGCACCGCAGGCAGGAGACGUUUGGGUAGGACUGUGGCCACUGCUUCACGUUCAGAGGAAGAGUAACAAACUCCACUCCCUUCUGGAUGAGCUGGUUGUAAGAGGGACGGGGUGAAUUCUCGGUGUGCAGAUGCUGCUUCAAACAAGUCGGUACCACUGCCUGUGUUGGCAAAGUGACUCUCCCUGGGACAGACGUCUUUGGGACACCUAGGACAAAUGUAGGUUUCGUCUGUUCUUAUGCUUUAUAUGCGUGGGCUAAUUCAACACAUACUCUUAUUUGUAUCUAUUCUUUAUUCCUUGCUGCUCUCUAUUAUUUAUUCCUGUGGUUGCAGGUUGUGCAUUCUUGCUGCUGUACAGUGUGGCAUAUACCACAGUUUAUCCAUUCUUCUGCGGAUGGGCAUUCGGGUAGUUUCUAGUUUCACAGCUAUUACAAGCCAUGCUGCUCUGAACUGUCUCGUAUGCAACUUUUGGUGAGCAUCCGUUCACAUUCUGUUGGCAUUUUGCUUUCAGUGUGGAGACAGCUCACUGUCAUUAGCUUGCCUAGGUGCUGUUAUCAGUGUCAGAGGUCGGGCGGCUCAUACACCACACUUACUUCUCACUUUUCUGAAGGGUGGAAGUCUGAGAUCCUGAUGCCAGCACGGUUAGCUUCCAGUAGGGUUAGGUCCUGGGUUGAGAUCAUAAUCUUAUGAUGUCUCACACAGUAGAAAGUGGACAAGGAAGUUCCCUGGGGUCCCUUUUAUAAGGCACUAAUUCCAUUUAUGGUCUGUUCUCAUGAUGUGAUUUCCUCCCAACAGGCCCCCACCUCUUAAUACUGUCAUAUUUGUGUAUGUUGGGAUUUCAACAUGCAUCUGGGGAGAGGACCCAGCCAUUUAUUUAGGAACUCCCUUGAAUCCAGAACUACCUGGUUUUGCUAUGAGAAAUUAAGAAAGAAAAAAACACCGAGUAUCUCUGAAGGGAAAAGCCAGUGGACAUUUUCCCAUGAGUUGCGCCCUUUACUCACAUUGUUUUGUGCACUGUAAUUACAAAGCCCAUGAGAUCUGUUUACUGAAAAAGAUAUUCAAAUCAAGGAGCAUUCAGUCUCUCCAGUAGGAAACUUUGAACAAACACAGGACAGACCAUAAGCACAGACUUGAAGACCUGAUCUAAGAAAAGCAGGACCUUAGCUUCUUAAUUCCCUUUAUAAAAUCUUAUAAACCCUUAUUCUAUGAGGUAGAGUUUCUUCUGGCACUUUAGAGCCAGUAGCCCCUCUCAGGUUUAUCUUAAAUAAAGCCUGCCCGUGCUACAAGUUUUUCUUCUUUUACGUAUUUCCUACAGUCUCUAAGGACAAAACUCAGGUGAGUAGCAAAGUCAGUGCUCCUCUGGAAAACAACAUUUGCAACGUGACUCCACCCAAAUCUCAGUCCUGUUAUAUCCUCUCAUUUCAUCUUCUAGCAAAGGUCCAUUCUUACUUCCUUUUUCUUUGAUUCCAGCCAAAGUGAUCAUUUAAAGAACAAAUGCAAUGUACCACCCAGCUUCCUCACAUGGCAUUCUUUAAGUUUAAACAAAGCCAUUUUGCUGUUCCUGGGGAUAAGGUCAAAACCCUCAACACAAACUGUGAUCCUUGUAUGAGCUGGCCUGCACCCCUGAUCUAUCCACUGCAGCCACCCUGGCCAACUUCCAGCCCGUCAGCCCAGCCAACACCCUGUGCCACGCGACCUGCACAUAUCCUGAUGUGUGUCUUAUAACAACGCCACCCUGCUGACAGUGAACAGACUUCCCUGCCUAUGAGAAGUCUUUCCUGAGCCCCCAGAUGAAGCCACAGUCAUUUGUUAUAUGUCAGAGCUUCUAUUAGUUAUUUUUACAGAAAUGUUCAUGAUUGUAAUGGUUUAGUUACAUAAGUGGUUGUUUAACCAUUUCCCGACAGAAUGUGAAGGUCUAUGAGGACAGAGAUGGCCCCUGUGUGGCUGUUGUCCUGUUCCCAGCACCUAGCACAGUUGUUUGCCUUUAACAGAGGCUCAAAUAAAGAAAUUAGUGACUUGCUGUCAUCAGAAUCUUCAACUUCAUCUCUUCUCUCUUCUGAUUGUUCUUUAGUCAGUUUCGCCUAAGAUGUUUAGAACAUGUUAUGGCUUGUGUCUAGACAUCCUCCCAGAGCAUCGUGUGCUCAUAGGUGGGGCUUUUCAGAGGAUCUAGGGCAGUGAUACUGGGAUUGAAUUAGUCCACUGAUUGAAAUUAGCAUAGUUCUGGGUAUGAGUAAUGGAUGCCCCAACCUGGCUUCCAUCUUGGACCAAUCAAAAGGCUUACAGCCUAUAUAGAGUAUGAGGAAGAGAGAGAAGGCAGGUUUGUUCUGCUGCUUGUUGCCUUCUGCCGGCCACACCGUGAACUGUUUGUCCUCUGCCAUGUGCCACCCUACCUUGGAACCAGCUGACUAUGAAUUGAAACUUUUACCAACUGUAAGCUGAAAUAAACUUUCCUCCUCUAACUUGUGGGUGUUGGGUAUUUUGUCUCAGCAACACAAAAACUAAGAAUGCUAAUAAAAGUAAGUGUAGUUUGUGCUAAUUUGCCCUUGCAGUCUAUAUUACUGACACAGGAGAAAAUGUAACUCCUAACCUGCUAGGUGAUAGGUGUGCCGAGUUUGUGCUUCCUGAAAUCAAAGAAUGAAUUCCAAAGGACAAAGAAGGUUAAAAGUAGCAGUUUUAUUGAGAGAUAGCUCCUGAGAGACAGGAGGAAUCCUAGGUUCGGUUACCACAAAACUCCUUUGUUGGGGGUAAUUUAUACAGUGAAGUCACAAUGGGGGUACAAUGUGGAUCAAACUAUAAUCAAAUUAUUAGUAUAGCUGAUUAGCUAAUAUUGGUCCAGUAGGGAAGUGGGUCAUGUAGCAAGGGCCCAUGGAAACAACAAAGGCAUUGUGUGGCAGGAAUGGGUCCAGAUGCUCUGGUCACCCACCUGGGUGACCGGCGCCUGUCUGGACUUCCUAGACCAGGUGUAUAAUUCCAAGUUACCACUUAUCUCUUAGGCAUGUAGGUCUGGCCAUUGCAUCUGUAUCUUGAGGCCUGGUCUUCUUUAGAUGUGACUGUAGUCAGAAUUCUGAUGUCUUUGUUCUUUCUGCAGACUUCCUUGAGUCCCUCUCUGAUUGUAUGUUGAUUUGUAACUUAGCUGGCUAUUAUAUUACCAGUUUCAAACAGAAAUGAUUUUACACAGAAAGGCUCUCAACAUCAGUGACCAUCAAGGGCACAAAAUGAAGCCAUCAUGAGAUAUUAUUUCACACUCACUAAGAUGGCUAGAGUGAAAAAGACAGACCAUACCCAGAGCUGGGAGAGAAGUAGAGAAAUUGCAUCCUCCUGCACUGCUGGAGGGAGUAAAAAUAGUGCCACUGUUUUGGGAAAUAGUCCAGAAGUUUCUCAGUACUUUAAAGAUAGAGUUACCUUAUGGUCCAGAAAUUCUAUUUGUUUUACCCAACAGAAGUACUGUAUGUCCACACAAAAUUGUAUGUGGAUUUUCAUAUCAGCAUCAUUUGUAAUUGUAAAAAAGUAUAAACAACCCAAAUGUUCACUAACUGAUAAAUGGAUAAUUAGAACAUGGCAUGUCAAUAUAAUGGAAUAUUAUUUGACAAUAAAAAUACUUAUACAUGUCACAGCCAGGAUAAACUUUGAAAACACUGGGCUAAGCUAGGCAUGGUGGUGCAUGCCAGCAAUCCCAGCAAUUUACCACCUUGCAAGACUCUUUCUUAAAAAAAUGUUUUCAAGAAAGGACUGGGAUAUAGCUCAGCGUAAAGACCUUAGGUCCAAUCCCCAGUAGAACACACACACACACACACACACACACACACACACACACACACACAGAGAGAGAGACAGAGAGACAGAGAGACAGAGAGACAGAGACAGAGAGACAGAGAGGCAGAGAGAUAGAGAGACAGGGAGCUCAAAAGAGGAAAGAGAAAGAAAACAUUGUGCUAAGUGUAGGUAUGGAGUCACAAAGGACCACAUAGUUUGUGAUUCCAUUUGUAUGAAACUCAGUAUAUAAAUAAGCUAACUAUGCAAAGGAAAAUUUAAAACUCUUUAGAGUUGUAGACUCAUUGGACAAGGAAGGCAGACUUGUGGUUGACUGGAAUCACUGAAGUUUGGGUAACUGGGGGCUGACUACAAAGGAGCGUAUAGUUUCUUUUAGGCAUGGUAAACAUGACCACAUGACCUAAAAUUGACUAUGCUGCUGCCUAUUUCUGUGAAUAUACUGAAGGCUGUGGAUUAGUGAAUUGUAUACUUUAAAAACUCAUAUGGUAUGUGAAUUAUAUACUUUUAUUUUUUUAGGGGAAAAGAGUUCCUUGAGGAAGGCAAAUUGAAAGGAAGUACCUCCAAGGUGUUACUUACCACAACUAGUGUAGAAAUCACGCAGCCUUGGCAUCUGCACACGUGCUUCUUUCUAGUGUCCUCCUGUCUGUGGGUUGUGCACCUCUCGAUUCUGCUUUUCUCUUUAAUGCCCUGCCCCUGAAGAACUGCAUAAGCUCUGGGGAACUAAUACUUCUCCCUUUCUGGGACUGUUGAGAUUUAACAUAUGAAACACACGUAAUGUAAUAUGCUUAGCAUUGUGCCUGGCAAUGAUCAAAUAGGAUUUGUCAAUAUCCUGACCGAAAACCAGCUAAAUUUUUAUUGUUACAGGAAAAAACAGAGCCAUGCCUCUCUCCAUUCACCUUCAACCUAUCUCAAUCAGGUGUAAUAAUAUAGGUGAACACGAGGGGGCAGCCUGCAGUUGCAAUAAAGAAAAAUCAGCGUGUCUGAAACAGAUCCGAAGCUAUUAAAAAGGUCUAGUUGAAAGGAAAGUGAAAUGCCUCCCUUUAAUAGUAUUUUGUAGUAUUUGUCCAUAGGAGGGAGGUGCUGAGGAAUAUUGCUUCUGGGGGACAGUGCAGCAGUCCUCAAAUUCUCUCUCCACACUCCUGCACCAUUUCAUUGCAUUUUGUUCAUUCUAUGCACUUGUUCUCAUAAAACCAGCGGAUUCUUCCGAUAAGCGGCUCUGAUGGGAGGCAUUUGGAAGCCUUCCUAGGUAAGUAUUGUCUUACAAAAGUGCUUUAGCACAACAUCUGGUCUCUGGGAGGGAUAGGAGUGCUCUCAGGUGAGUCCCUAAGGGUGGGGACCAUGUCCCACGCCCUUCCUUGAGGCCCAGCAGCUUGAGAUACCUGGUAUGUCCUAGUCAAGCUAGAUGGUGUCUGCUGGCCUCAACUGCUCCAUGAGCAGAUGUGGGGAAAGAAGGGAAGAAUUGUAACCCUUAAUGGGGCUCUACAAUUAGAACCCCUCUAAAGAAUUGUCUUUAGUUAUUUUUUUACAUAACAGUUGCUCAUGCUCAUAAUGGGUAUGCAAGCAAAAAGAAUAUUUAAAAUACUCACAAUCCUAUCCACUCCCUAUUAACUGGGGGAAUUCCACAGAUUCUUUCCACCUUAUGUCAGAGUAUAAUAUGUGUGUGUGUAUCAGUACGGUGUUUACAUUUAUGGCAACAUAGAAUAUAGUGUUCCACUGUAUGAUGAUACUAUAUUUAACUAAUCCCUCUCUCUUCUGAGAAUUUGUUUCUAAAUUUUUGCUCUUUACAGAGCAGUCUGGUGAAUAUCCUUGUAGCUAAGUCUUAGCCUGCAUUCUUUAAGAGUGCCUUAGGAUAAAUUCCCAAAGGCAGAAUUUCUGGGCAAUGGGUAAUUUACAUUGUCACCAAUAGUGAUAGUGCCCUUGAUCAGAUGAAGAGUUUUAAUUAAACAUCACACCAGAACUCUAUAAUUUUGUCUCAAUACUGUCAUCCCUGCUCACAACAUUUAGUGAACUCUGUGUUUGAUGAUCCAGGCUAUGAGUCACACAAGAAAAUAAAAAUCUCUCAUCUUGCCUUUGCUCUUUGUUCAGGAAAAUCUAAUUUACUACAAAAGAAUAAAGAAAGCAACCAUGGAAGAUAUUCAUAUAUAUGUGCCACAAACAUCAGGAAGUUAGAUAGGGAAGCCCCAUGCUUUCUGGAGUAGUGACAUCAGAGAAGUGCUGGGCGUCCAGAGUGCAGACCCCACUGGAUGCAUACUGAUAGAAUUAUCAAAAACAAAACAAAACAAAACAAAACAAAACACCCCCCCCCACCACCACCCUUGCUCUCCGGGGAUAUGGCUCUAGUUUGGUUUACAAUUUCAAGUGUUUUCUUACAUGUGUCAUUUCUUAGAGCUUUUUGGAAAUUAGAAUGAAAUUUCUCCAUCAUCUGAGGAUACCUUGUGGGUAACAGCAAGGAUAGAUUUCUUUCUUGAAGACUUUUAAACUCCUCUUUCUGUCUGUCUUUCAACAAAUAAAGCACAAUACGUGCAUAUAUGGAAACAUCACAGUGAAACUUAUUUGUCUGAUUAGUUAAUUAUAAUAAAAGAAUUUUUAAAAUUACAAGAUGGUACUUUACUAAACAUAUUUUUCUUAAAAUAGAUUAUAUGAGCUCCUUAAUAAACAGCUGAGAAACACGAAGCUUAAAAAUGUGUAUUAUUGUCCAUGAAAAAAAGAACAAUGUCUGCCCGAGAGGGCUGCUCAUAAGUAUAAACUAUGUGCUUUUUACUGCCUCAUCUCUAAAUCACAAACCCUUUUUGGCAAAAGAAAAACUUAUGCACUAGAAAUGCUUUUUGAAAGUAAGGUUUAAUGCUGAUCCAGAAUUAUGAUUAAAAUGAUUAUUAAAGAUGCUAUCGAUUCUACCAUAAUGUAUAGGAAUUAUUCACCUGUCCGCUUCUCUUCCUAAAAAACCAAGUAGCUAAUAAUACCUGGCUGAGCUAAAGAAAUAAAAUCUAUUUUCUUAUUAACUCUCACAGAGAAGUCUGCUUAGCUUGCAUUUCGAGUGGUCUUCAGUAAAGUCUGUUUUUCUUGCAGUGAUCACGUUCCCCAAACAUGCUGGGAAAUCUGCUGCGGUAUUUUGUUUCUCUCUUGUUUUCCUUUAGGGGCAGCCAGCCAAUGGGAGCCUCGGGGUGCUGGCAGUUGGAAACCUGUGGGUGACAAAGUCACAGAAAGCAGCAGAGCUUAGCAUGGAGCCUGGCUCAGAAUAGCCAUUUGUGGCGUUUUUCCCUCGAGAGUUGCCCUGGCUCUUCCUUUUUCCCCUUUACUUGUUGCCAUGGCACUGGAGCCACAUGGGACAGGACGUUACCUUGUGCCACCUGCUCCGCAACAUCUGCCGUACCUUGCUGGCCGUCACAUCCCAGAUCUCCCCUUUCUUUAGGUCUUAAAGACAAGCACAGUAAAGAAUCAAGCAUUUAAAAUUAUAUUUAUUGUGAUUUCAGGGUGGAAGAGUAAGAAACACUAGGUCCCCACUGGACUUUGUAUUUUUGUGGGGAGGGGUUUAGGAGUGGCUGCUGUGGGCUGGAGGUCAGAGAGGAGAAUUGCACUGUUGUUGUUUUGCUAAGUUAUAUGUUUAUUUGGGGAGACUUCAUGGGGAGGUAAACUCUCUCUUAAGCCACCCCUUGGCGCUGCCAUAUUAGGGCAUAGAUAUUCCCAGUGGCUUUUAGCAGUUUACCAAAUAAAGCUUUGGGCUGAUAUUGAAGGUGCUGUAAUGUGUGACCUUACCUCUGCUAUUCCAGCCUUGCCAUCUCUGGCUCAUAACAGAUCUGCACGGCUGCUAUGCAUUCUCUUGGUUUAGCUGCUUCUCUGAGCACGGCUGCAGCCCCCAGCUUUGCACAGGUGCAGCCUGACAGCUCUGGCCUUGGCUGCACUGAGAACCACUCCCUUUCUCUGUGAUAUCUUCUUGUCCUACAGUAAGGAACACAGAUAUUCUCACCUCUUGAUGGCUUUCUGGGCAUGCAAGGGGCUUGUCGUGUGAUGGGGGUAACUUUUGAAGAGUUGGGGGUGGGAACUGUAUGGUAUAGGCCUCCUGUAUCUCAGGGUGGCAAUUCUGAGUUCUGCACAACUUCCCAAGUCCUUGGCAGAAUGGAGUCCCAGCUGCCCACGGUAGGGACCAGCUGCUAUCACUGUCUUGUGUUAGCUUUUUCUCCUUGCUUGUCUCCUCCCCUAGUCCCUUACUUUUGCUCCCUGGGGUUACUUCCCUAAAGAAAUGUCAUCUGCUUCCUCUGGGAAACCCAGUCAUUUAUUUGCAUUUUGUAUUUCUAUUACAGAAGAUCACAGGGUAAUUUAUAAGAACAGAAACUUAUUUCUGAUAAAGGUCCAGUGUGAAAGCACCUGUGUCUAGAAAGAGCCUCGUGGCUGUGACAUCAUUCUGAGGUAGGAAGCCCCGGUAUGGCAAAGCUGGUUAGGGGACUAAGCAUGACCCCCAUCCCAGGCACAUGAGCCGAAUAAUUCUCAGGCUCCUGUAUGAAGAUUUCUCUCGAGAACUCUCGAUGAGUGGAUGGAUAGAAAGGCAAGAUGCCAUUAAGUGUUUGCUAUCAUACCUCUUCAUGGCAGCCUGCCACGUGUCCCAGGGGGUACUUUUGUUUUAAAUUUUUAUUUUUCCUGACUUUUACUUGGCCCAAGUUUGCUCUGUAGCACCAGUUUCUAACUUACCCUUCACUUGUAAUUUUUCCUACCACAAAUAAAAGUAAAACUUUGUCACCGUUUUUGCUUGUUUUGGUCAAUUCUUUAUUUGAGAUGGAAAGAACAUGAAAACCAGGUCCAGAAGGAGACCCUGGCAUCUCCAAACCUAGUAACCAUCCACAGCAGAAGCAGAAGGGCAAGAGGGAAAUGGAAUAAAUGGGUUUGGGGUAGAAGAGGGGCUGAGUUGACAGCUUUAUCUGGAACCCACUCUGGCAAUGAUGACAUUCACCUGUAACUGGUAACUUAGAACGAGGUCACUGCACUGAGCAAGCAGCAACUGGUGGGAGUUAAAAACUGGAGGGACACAGAGAGGCUGGAAGCAGAAGCAGUGAGGAUAAGAGGGAGGCAGAGAGAAUCAGGGCGCUGGUGUCAGGAGAAGCAGAGAGGGCGGCUGAGUCACAGGGACGCGACAGCACCAGGAGCAAGAAGACUCUGAGGCCCGGGGUCCUGAGUGGGGCCCAGGGGAGCUUUCUGUUUUGACUGCACUCCAGACCCCCCACACCUUCUGGCAUGGUUGCUUUUAUGCUCUCAGAAAGCAAAAAGAAAGAUGCACUUCUAUUCUCACACAUAGCCUAACUCAGGGCAGGGUCGGAGACGCACUACUUGGGUUUACCAGGACUGGGUGAACGUGAGCAAGUAACUGACCAUGCCAUGCCUCAGUUUCCUUAUUGGUAAAUCAUGCUGAUGCUGGUGCUUCCUUCCUAGGGGUAGUAUAAUGACUGAGUGAGAUCAUAGAUAUAAAUUGCAGAGCAGAAUGAGGCACAUUUUAUAUACUCUAUCAGCAGGGCAUUCAGUGUCUGCACAGGGUGUGAAAUAUGGCAACUGAAGAGCGUGAAAGACACUUUGCAAAGGUCUGAGUCAGCCGAAGGACACAACAAAGGAUGGUGGGUGCCCUGGGCUAACGUUCCCAGGCUUUGCAAGGUGAGGAGAGAACAGUCACCAGACACCAGCAGUCUUGGAGAGGGGCAGGACAGGUACUGUGGGGCUCCUUCCAUCCAAUGGUUUCAGGCAGGUGGGGUGCAGGUGAUGUUCAUUUUCAGGCCUUCUUUUCUCCCUUGCUCUGAUUUCGUACCUUGAUUGCAAAGGCCAGUUGACUAGGAGGCCAAAUAUUCAGCUGUCAAAGGGCAAGGAAUUUGGUAGAUAUGAACAGAAGGCAGUUGAGGAAGACCGUCCAGUUGGCUGGUGGUGCCAUGGUGGUUGCUCUUAUAUCAGGCUGAGGCCUUGGAUCUCUAUUGCCUUGCAAAGAAAACACCAUAAUCCCAGAAGUGGUUAAAUAGGAUCUCAACAGGAAACUACACAGGUGAGACCUGAGGGGCCGGGCAGAUCUCAAGCAAUCAUGGCUGCCUGAACUGAGAAAGCUCCUUCAGGGGCCAACAGAGACCUUUACUCUUUGUGUCAUGAGUGCCAGUAAGAGGAUACUCAAAGUGUGGCCUGCUUUGGGUCAAGGAGGAGCCCGAGCCCAUCCUCAGAGCCUCUCUUUCCCUCCCUACCCCACAUUUAUGCCAGGUCCCGGGCCUCUCCAGAUCUCACUGACUCUGAAACAACUUCAUGGAGUAGGACUCUGCUUUAUGGACAAGGACACUGAGGCUGAAGCAUUCUCUAAGGAGCAUCAUCAGGAGGUCUGAGUGUGAGCCUAGUUAAUGUCUUCAGAGCCUAAAAUCUUCAUCACCAGGAGAACCAGAAUCAUCUACCACAAACAGAAGGAUAAAGAGCGCAUGCCUGGCCGAUUCUAAGUCCUACAGCAGAAGGAUUUUGAAAUAACUCCAAUCUCUUGCUGGGCUGGCCUGAGGAGCAUCUGUCUGGCUAUCUGUCUGGGCUGUAAGACCUGUAUGACUGGAUUUGGAAGUCAACAGUGGCCACAGCCCAUAUAGGAAUAGGAAGCCCUGCUGGCUGGGAAGAGGAACCAGGAUGGAAGCCACGCUCCUCUGUGAGUCAGUUGGUGCCUGGGCUGGGAGAGAAGAACAAUCCCCACACCACCCUGUAAGCAACUGGUUGACUGAGAGGAAUACAGACUGAGAUGAUAGCAACUGAAGUAAAGAAACAGCCUAAA